rnacentral:rRNA from 1 species
UAGGGAAUCUUCGGCAAUGGACGAAAGUCUGACCGAGCAACGCCGCGUGAGUGAAGAAGGUUUUCGGAUCGUAAAACUCUGUUGUUAGAGAAGAACAAGGACGUUAGUAACUGAACGUCCCCUGACGGUAUCUAACCAGAAAGCCACGGCUAACUACGUGCCAGCAGCCGCGGUAAUACGUAGGUGGCAAGCGUUGCCCGGAUUUAUUGGGCGUAAAGCGCACGCAGGCGGUUGAUUGAGUCAGAUGUGAAAUCCCCGGGCUUAACCCGGGAAUUGCAUCUGAUACUGGUCAGCUAGAGUCUUGUAGAGGGGGGUAGAAUUCCAUGUGUAGCGGUGAAAUGCGUAGAGAUGUGGAGGAAUACCGGUGGCGAAGGCGGCCCCCUGGACAAAGACUGACGCUCAGGUGCGAAAGCGUGGGGAGCAAACAGG